GCAGUCGAGCGCUGCGAUUAAGAACUUGGUCUUAUGGGUGGCGAGGGGGAGAGGGGAGUAGAAUAUGGGUAACCCGCCCUUUUCACUGGGAUUACUCCAGGAAACCUGGGCCAAUACCGGAUAACAAUUUGAAGGUGAAGGUUCGGAAUUGAAAGGCCUUGUCCGCUGUCAUGUACCGAUGGACCCGCAUCUCAUUGGCGGGUUGGUGGCGUACCGGCGCACCAAGGCAACGAUGCGUAGCCAACCUGAUAGGGUGAUCUGCCACUCUGGGACUGACACAACGCCCACACUCCGACGGGAUGCGGCAUUAUGGAAUCUUCCCCCAUGCACGAACCUCCGACAGAGCAACGCCGCGUAAGGGAUUAAGGCUUUCGGGUCCUAUAACUCUGUUGUAAAGGAAGAACGCUUGCACCUUGAAGAAACUGGCGCCCUGACGGAACCUACCCAGAAAACCUCCGCGAACUACGUGCCAGCAACCCCAGUGAUACAUACGUGGCACGCAUUUUCCGGAAUUAUUGCGCGUAUAGCUCGCCCUUGUGGUUUCUUAUGUCUGAUGUGAGCUCCCACUGCUCACCCGUGUAGGGUCAUUGCAACCUGGGAGACUUAAAUGCAAAAGAGGAUCGUGGAAUUCCAUGUGUAUGCGUGAAAUGCGUGAGAUAUGGAGGAGCACCAGUGGCGAACGCGACUUUCUGGUCUGUAGCUGACACUGAGCGUCGAAAGCGUGGGGAACUAAACAUGCACUAGAUACCCUGGUACUCCACGCCGUAAACGAUGAGUGCUAUGUGUUAUAGGGUUUCCGCCCUUUAGCUGCUGAAGUUAACUCAUCAACCACUCCAGCCCGGGUCAGUACGGCCGAAACUGCUAAGACUCGACGGAGUGACGGGGGCCCGCAGAAGCAGGUGGAUCUAUGUGGUUUAAAUCGAAACAAC
rnacentral:rRNA from 1 species